rnacentral:rRNA from 1 species
AGUGAACGCUGGCGGCGUGCUUAACACAUGCAAGUCGAACGAGAACGGAUUAUAGCUUGCUAUAAUUGUCAGCUAAGUGGCGCACGGGUGAGUAAUGUAUAGGUAAUAUGCCUCUUACUAAGGGAUAACCAAUGGAAACGUUUGCUAAUACCUUAUACUCCUUAUUAAAAGAAGUUAAUAAGGAAAAGGUUUAUUGGUAAGAGAUUAGCCUGUAUUGUAUCAGUUAGUUGGUGGUGUAAGGGCUUACCAAGACUAUGAAACAUAACUGGUUUGAGAGGAUGAACAGUCACAAUGGAACUGAGACACGGUCCAGACACCUACGGGAGGCAGCAGUGGAGAAUAUUGCACAAUGGACGAAAGUCUGAUGCAGCAACGCCGCGUGGAGGAUGACACAUUUCGGUGCGUAAACUCCUUUUAUAUGAGAAGAUAAUGACGGUAUUAUAUGAAUAAGCACCGGCUAACUCCGUGCCAGCCGCCGCAGUAA